ensembl:ncRNA K01A11.7 ncRNA
UCCCCACUCCGCCUAUACUCAAAAAUCCCAUUUUCCAUGCCAUUUGGGAAUUCUUCUUCUUCUCUUCUCUUUUUUUUUGGUGAAAAAAGAUGAAACUGAGAAUGGGAACACGUCAUCGACAAUUGAUGGACAUGGAUUAGA